GGAAUAUUGGACAAUGGGCGAAAGCCUGAUCCAGCCAUGCCGCAUGAGUGAUGAAGGACUUAGGGUUGUAAAGCUCUUUCAGUAGGGAAGAUAAUGACGGUACCUACAGUAGCAGCCCCGGCUAACUUAGUGCCAGCAGCCGCGGUAAUACGAAGGGGGCUAGCGUUGUCCGGAUUUACUGGGCGUAAAGCGCACGUAGGCGGAUCGUUAAGUCGGGGGUGAAAUCCUGGAGCUCAACUCCAGAACUGCCUUCGAUACUGGCGAUCUUGAGUCCGGAAGAGGUGAGUGGAACUCCUAGUGUAGAGGUGGAAUUCGUAGAUAUUAGGAAGAACACCAGUGGCGAAGGCGGCUCACUGGUCCGGUACUGACGCUGAGGUGCGAAAGCGUGGGGAGCAAA
rnacentral:rRNA from 1 species